CAAAGGCUAUGUAUUCUGAGCUCAUCUGGAUCAGAGGAGUCAGCACUGUCAUUUGUGUUUGGCAGAGACUGAAAGGCAGAUGUUCGUCUGAAGAUUUCAAAGCCCACUGCUGAUUUAAGGUCAUUCACAUUCAGCCAUGAAGCUGCUCUGAAGACACAGGAACUGCAUAGCUCCCUACUGGGAAUGUCAAGGGCUGUGAAAGGUCUAAGGUUUUAUCCUACUUGCAACCAACAAGCUAUGCAGCCACAGUUUUAUGGAUGCUGUCAAAAGACAUGACACUCCUGGCACUUCAAAUGCAUCAAAGGUCCAGAGAGAAGCUUCUUCUGGUCACCUUGAUCUUGUGAUGCAAGGCAGGUGGGAGCAAGGGCUCCACCUCUGCAGACACAGAG